GCCCGGCGGCGCGCAGAGGCUACAAGUGCUGCGGCUUGUGAGCGGGGUACUUUCCCGAGGAGCCGCGCAAGGACAAGCGCGCGGUGCUCGAGCCUCGCUGGGUGGCCAAGGCAGGAGGAAACCUGCCUUCUCGUUUGAGGGAUCCUGUCACCGAAAUGUGUGAGUCCUUGGAUAAAUUUGGCUUGGUGACGGCAAUGCUUUCUUCAGAGACACUGCCACUUCCUCCAUGUUCCUUUUCUACCCUGGCCUAAAUUUCUCAGUGUUAAUCCCUGUGAUAAGUCAGAGGAUUUGCCCUUCUCACACUUUCCCACCACUAGGUAGCCUCUCCUUUCUCUUACCUCUUUUAGGAGGAAUUGGGGCUGAAGUGUCAAGACCUGUGGCUACAAAGGAGAUGAGGGCCUCAGGAGCAAUACUGCUGGUGGUACAGCCUUAGCUCCUGUUGGGUUCUUAUCUAACUGUGUUGCUACUGGCAGACUUUCUGGAAGCUGCUGGGGGAUGUCUGACUAGCUCCAAUGGAGCUCCACUAUCUUGCUAAGAAGAGCAGCCAGGCAGCCCUGUGUGAUGCUGUGGACUGGAGUUCAGGAGGGCUUCCCAGGGACCAGGCAGAUGCAGCAGCCACUAAAGCUGCUCUCUGCUGCCAGAGACAUUGUACGUGGACACCAAGAGCACCAGAGAGGGAAGGGUCUAAACUUAGCCCUUCUCCAGCAUCCCCUCCCCCCUCACUGCAAGACACUGCUAUUCAGCUAGACUUCUUGCCACCAGGGCUUCUCAACUCAGGGAACAACCAAAUAACAGCAGAACAGAAAGUCUGUGACUGCUGUAGCCAGGAAUUAGAAACCUCUUUUACCUAUGAGGAUGAGAAUAUCAACCUGGAGCAAAGGAACCGGCGUUCCCCUUCAGCAAAAGGGAGUAAGCACCUGGGAGACCUUGGCUGGGGAAAUCCAAAUGAGUGGUCCCCCGAGGCUCCCAUAUCGCUGAUAUCCGAAGAUGAAGAUGAUGCAAGCUCGGAAGCCACCUCUUCAGGGAAGUCAGUAGACUAUGGUUUCAUAAGCGCCAUCUUGUUCUUGGUCACUGGCAUCUUGCUGGUGAUCAUCUCUUACGUUGUCCCACGGGAUGUGACUGUGGAUCCCAACACUGUGCCGGCCCGGGAGAUGGAACGUCUGGAGAAGGAGAGCGCGAGGCUGGGGGCUCACCUAGACCGCUGUGUGAUUGCCGGCCUCUGCCUUCUCACCCUUGGGGGGGUCGUUCUUUCCUGUUUGCUAAUGAUGUCCAUGUGGAAGGGGGAGCUAUAUCGGCGUGACAGGUUUGCCUCUUCCAAAGAGUCUGCGAAACUCUACGGUUCAUUCAACUUCAGGAUGAAAACCAGCACUAAUGCAAACACCCUGGAGCUGUCCUUGGUAGAGGAAGAUGCUCUCGCUGUACAGAGUUAAUUCUGGUUGUGAACUUCUUGAGAGUCUGCCUUGGCAUUUUAUAUGAACAGAACAAAGCAAAGCAAAACAAAACACAACACAUUUCUUAAAAUUAACAGUGCAGUUUAUUUGCCUGGCGAGGAAAGUCUAUUUCCCAAACGAACAGCCAACAUGAAUAAGUCGACUGAGGAAAAUAUAGUAGAAAGAAGAAUUCGUCAGCACAUUGUCAGGUAAGUAUAAGGAUUACACCAUAUAAAUAGCUACGAUGAAUAAUUUAUUUGAUAGAUAGAUGGCAUCAUUUGGUCUGAACUGUACUUCAACAGUUUUCCUUCCUCUUCUUUUAGGGCUUUUAUGAGUUUAGGUUUUGUGUCAGAAUAUACGUCAGUGGAAAAAGAAAUACCUGUUUAACAAUUAAAAAAUAUUCUUAUUUGCCAAGAGGCCUAUAGUUAUUCUGAGAAGUUGGUUUUACUGUUGUUGAUUUCUAUCCAAUUGCAAAAGAAAAACAGAUUAGUAGGAAAAUUACUAAUUUAUUUUCUCACUGUGCUAAACCAUCCUGGUUUUAAAAAAGGAAUGGCCCACUUUGUAGCUUGUUACUCACAGACUGAACUUCUUCCUGCUCAGGGAGAGUGAGUGGAAAGUAAAACUACUCUAUAUGAUAAAUACAAGGAACUUUAGAGUUGGAUAUAGGCAUCUAGGGAGAAAAGAGAAGGA